rnacentral:rRNA from 1 species
CACGUAGGGGUGCGACGUUUGUUCGGAUUCAUUGGGCGUAAAGGGUGCGUAGGCGGCGCGGUAAGUCGGGUGUGAAAUUUCGAGGCUUAACUUCGAAACUGCAUUCGAUACUGCCGUGCUUGAGGACUGGAGAGGAGACUGGAAUUUACGGUGUAGCGGUGAAAUGCGUAGAUAUCGUAAGGAAGACCAGUGGCGAAGGCGGGUCUCUGGACAGUUCCUGACGCUGAGGCACGAAGGUCAGGGGAGCAAACGGG